UAUAUGCCCCCAAAACACUAUUCACUUCAGUUUGUAGCUCAGGUACAGAUAUUUUUCGCCUGCCCUUCUGAAUGUCCGUUUGAGCUCAAAUUUGGCAGUCAUGCUCGGUUUUACUUAACGAAAGAAUUUUUAAUCUUUCAGUUUCGACCCCGUUUGGUCACCGAAAGCUCUACCGAACUGUAAUCGCUAGCUGAUAACAAUUCGAUUUUAUUCUCCACCUUCCGAGUGUCAGAAUGGGAUGAAACUUUAAUUCUAGCCUCACAAAAAUAAUUCUGACAUAUCCUCCAGUUUUCAUAAUUUUCUGACACUGUGCAUUUUCUACUAAUUUAUCUGCCCCGUCUCUCACAGAAAAUUAUAAAUCUUCUGUUUUCGCUCCGAUUUCAGCACAGGUCAUUUCCAACUUAUACUUUACACCCUUAAGUCCAACAAAAAUAGUAUCUCACACUUUUUAUUUAUAUUUAUUUUUAUAUUAAAAAUCGAGCAUACUACAUCCACCGUAACUUCAUAAUUUUAGAAGUUCGAUACCUUACAGGGAGUGACUGAGCUAAGAGCCGUAUGACAUUGAGAAAGACAUACUCUUAUUGGGAUUCUCUGUCAUAGCAUGUAUUUGGUACUACAUGUGCUGGGCGACCAAAUAAAGAAGAUGAGUGAAUAGAUCCCUGCUUUCUCAUCGUGUGAGUUCUUACGGAUAUUAUUUUUGAGACAAUGUCCUAUAUAUGUUAGAUACCCUUAGUGACUUUUGACUAUGUCAUUAAGUGAAAGAAUUGAUGUUGCUACUUUGGCAUGUUUCCUACGGCUAUGAGUGAUGCGACUUCAUGGGGCAGUGCUGGGAAAGCAAUCAAUUCUCAACUUAGUGGCAUGAGGGCUCAAGAAAGACUAGUUGAAUUACCUUUAGACACUUUGACUCAUUGUCGACAGGUUGUGUCACUUCAGGAUAGCGAAACAAUCAUGAGUAUUGUGUCAUAUUGUGCGCAGCAGAGGUUAGCAUGGCUCUUUGAGGGAUUAGAGAUGCU
rnacentral:lncRNA from 1 species